rnacentral:rRNA from 1 species
AUACGGAGGGGGCUAGCGUUGUUCGGAUUUACUGGGCGUAAAGCGCGCGUAGGCGGUAUAUCAAGUUAGGCGUGAAAGCCCCGGGCUCAACCCGGGAACUGCGCUUAUUACUGAUAAACUAGAGUCCGGGAGAGGGUGGCGGAAUUCCCAGUGUAGAGGUGAAAUUCGUAGAUAUUAGGAAGAACACCAGUUGCGAAGGCGGCCACCUGGACCGGUACUGACGCUGAGGUGCGAAAGCGUGGGGAGCAAACAGGAUUAGAAACCCCGGUAGUCC